rnacentral:rRNA from 1 species
AACGAACGCUGGCGGCAUGCCUAACACAUGCAAGUCGAACGAGACCUUCGGGUCUAGUGGCUCACGGGUGCGUAACGCGUGGGAACCUGCCCUUAGGUUCGGAAUAACUCCCCGAAAGGGGUGCUAAUACCGGAUAAUGUCUUCGGACCAAAGAUUUAUCGCCUUUGGAUGGGCCCGCGUUGGAUUAGCUAGUUGGUAGGGUAAAAGCCUACCAAGGCGACGAUCCAUAGCUGGUCUGAGAGGAUGAUCAGCCACACUGGGACUGAGACACGGCCCAGACUCCUACGGGAGGCAGCAGUGGGGAAUAUUGGACAAUGGGCGAAAGCCUGAUCCAGCAAUGCCGCGUGAGUGAUGAAGGCCUUAGGGUUGUAAAGCUCUGUUACCCGGGAUGAUAAUGACAGUACCGGGAGAAUAAGCUCCGGCUAACUCCGUG